rnacentral:tRNA from 1 species
UUAGCUCAGUUGGUUAGAGCAUGGUGCUAAUAAUGCCAAGGUUGUGGGUUUGAUCCCCAUA